UGCUAUUGUGUGUUUGUGUGUGUAGG
rnacentral:sRNA from 1 species